rnacentral:misc_RNA from 1 species
UGGACUCAUCGUUUGACAUCCCUCCGCACCCUUCCUGCACUGGGGAAGGAAAGGGUGAGCGUGUGUGUUUGUGUGUGCUCACUCGCUCGCUUUGCUCUCUGCAUUUCUUUUUUAGAGGCUCGCACGCACUACCACCACAGGCAUCACAUAGAAUAGACGCGGAUCUCUGCGCAGACGUCGGGUCCGCUUUUGCCGCUACCAUGAUGCGCCACUUCCGCAUCUCCUCUGCGACGCAGCCGCAGUGCGCAGUGCGUACCAAGAUGACGGGUUUCAAUCUCUUCACACAGGACAUGCAACAAGAGAGGAAAGUGCUGAAGGCCAAAUCGUUCAAGGGAGGCCGUGAAAACAUGCGAAUCAUGGCAAAGCUGUGGGGGAAGUUGCCGUUGGGUCAGCGUGUGAUGUACAAUACGCGGGCACUGCAGCGCGCCGCACUCGUUACCAGAGACCCAGAAAAAAAGAACAACACGUUCAAUUUGCUCAUGAAACUCUUUUGCAGGGAUAAGGUUCUUCUGAAAGCCGGCAACGAGGCUUUCACCGCGCUCAUGGCGAAGUCGACAAUGCACGCGAUGAGUCACCGCGACAACAGCCGACUGAUGGAAAAGCUGAAUGUGAAGGCCUUCUGUACGAGCAAAGAGCGAUCCAACGAAAGUGUGACGUCCGCUUUCAAGCGCUUUAUCAGUCCCAACAUGCUGCUCUUCAGCUCUUUCACCGAGAUGCAGCGCUCCGUUGCACCAACGCGCAAGAGCGCCUUUACGGCAAUAACGAAGGUGCUUUCCGUUUCUAACGUCACCGUGUCGGGGGAGGAGUACGUCAUGAAGCGCUAUAGCUCCCUCUCCCCAGAGCUUCGGAACUUGUUUGCCCCCAUCUCGGAUGCCGAGGCGCCCUUCUUCGAAAUGUUCUGCGCCGACCGGUGCGCUAGUUUCGACCGGAAGCGCUUCGAAAUCAUACGGUUGUUCGCGUUGUUUCGCGGCAUCGAGGUGGACCUCGGCAGCAACGCAGUGCAGGAUGAACUCUUUCGCUCCCUCAUCAGCACGGAUCGGUCGCGUGACGGCAUCUACUUCAGAGCUCGCCGCAGCCUCGAGCGACUUGAAAAGCUGCGUAGCUCUGAUUGCGGUUUGUUUAUUGCGAAGCGCUUACCUCAGUCUGUUACGGUGCCCCCCGAAGCGUACGGUAUCGACAGCAGCUUGGACGACGUCAGCGUCGCAACCCUACUCGCCGAGACACGCUGUGGCCAUUCCGUGUACGACGAUGUCCUUAACCGGGCCGCCAUGUUGCGCACAAAGGAGAAAAACAAGCAGCUCGCGGUGUACAACGUGGCGCACAUGCUAACGGCGGAGACGUUGAGCAGCAGGCAGGUGCGUGUGGAGAGGCUGAAGGCCAAGGCUGAUCCACAGCUCAGUGCCGCCAUGCCGGAGCUCAAGUUGAAUGCGGCGCCCGCGCCGUUUCGAAAGAAGAGUCCACUGCCAGCUCCAGUGCCUUUGAAGAAGCUGCCAGCAAUGCUAGAGCCGCAACGGAAGCGGACGCUGCCGAUUGUCACCAAGGCGCCUGCGACAAAGGCCACACCGGUGGCGUCUCCUGAUAGAAACGCCCCGCCGGCAGUGAAGCUUCAGCUGGUCACCAAGCGAGCUGCCGGCGUUUCCCGCACUAAAACGAAGGGUGUGCCCGCCCCCUGCCGAGCCAGCGUCAAGGUCAGCGCUGCCCGAAAGGUAGCCACGGCCGCUACCAAGAAGGCGCUAAAGAGGGGUACCUCCACCUCACAGGCGACAACCGCCACAGACGAGGGAGGAGACUUCUUCGCCGAGGAUUUCAUGGCGGAAGGUGAAGGGGACGACGUCGGGCUCGAGGCUGCCGACAAGUUCGCUGGUGUCACGAACGCGCAAGUAACAGUGCCCACGGCGCCAGUGAAGCAGAAGCGUAAGUCUGCCGGGCGUCGUGCAGCUCGCAGUCACCUCCUUGCACCCGAGUCGAUGCUCCCUGCGACGGCACGGUCGCAGAAGGUGAUUGUGGCGCACACCCCCACGUGUAGAAAGGUACCGCGGCCGGUGCGCACCUCCCCAUCUUCCCCCUUUACUCCUGCGCGGCGCAAGGUGAGCCUUGCCGACAACAUACGAGCUCAGCUGGCGAGUUUGUUGGAGUCACCGGGUUGCGUGCGUGUUGCAGAACGCGGGGAGCGGCUUGACCCACAUCUUCAUGCGGGCUGAACAACAUAUAGAGAAAACACUAGAGGCCGCCCUUUCCUCUCCUCUCCCAGCUGCCUUUCCCCUGCUCCCCAUCGACCAUGCGUGAAUGUCGUCUCCACUACCUCGUAUCUGUCCAGCGGUGGCAUGAUAAUCGCGGCAGAUUUGAGCUGGCAUGGACAAUGGCAAGACAAGGAAGCGGGGGAAAAAGGACAGAUGGAGGGGAGAGUGUGUGAGGGGUGGACGCGCGCACACUCAUCUGCUCAUGAGGGCAAGUGACGCCCAAGCAAAUGCUUUACAUAGACAAAGGAAGGGCGAAGCGUCAUCGAUACCGGGAAGCAACGCAGACUUACAUACGUACAUGCGAACGUCUAAGCGCGUCGCGCACAUGAGGACAGCCGAAUAGGUCUGCGGUGUCAUCUUAAAAAAGGCACAGGGGGCACAAUCGAGACAGCAGGUCUGCUGUCUCAGCUGUGGUACGAGGUGUUCCGCCCACGCUGUUUUCUGCACAUACCUUAACCAUUGUGCCGCGGGUGCGUUCGCGUGACUCGUUGUCG